rnacentral:tRNA from 1 species
GGAUUUAGCUCAGUGGUAGAGCGCUUGCCUAGCAAGCACAAGGCCCUGGGUUCAAUCCUCAGCUCCG